rfam:Triticum aestivum genome assembly, contig: Triticum_aestivum_CS42_TGACv1_scaffold_288716_4AL
CUCAUACUCUCUCCGUCCGAAAAAGUUUGUCUCAAGCUUGUCUUUCAAAUGGAUGUAUCUAGCACUAACUUAGUGUUAGAUAUAUUCAUUUGAUGGACAAGUUUUUUUAAGACGGAGAGAGUAUUUC